rnacentral:rRNA from 1 species
UGGUGAUGAUGGCGAAGAGGUCACACCCGUUCCCAUACCGAACACGGAAGUUAAGCUCUUCAGCGCCGAUGGUAGUCGGGGGUUUCCCCCUGUGAGAGUAGGACAUCGCCA